GCUUUCCCAGCUCCUGUGAGCUUUCACUCCUGUUGGAUGGUGCCUUUCAGUCAUUUCUGCUGCUGUAAGUAGCCCAUCACCCACAUUCCUGUUGAAAGCAACCAACAGAAGAAUAUUUCUGUGGCAACUGAAAGGUAUCUAUGGAUUCAGAUUUUGCUUUGAAAAACCAACCUAUGGGAACACAGCUCUGUCAGUGGCUUUUUUCUCUCUCUGACCCAGUGCCUGACCAACAACACUAACUGGGGGAAGAAGGGUCUACUUUGCCUCACAGUUGGAAGAGAUGCAGUUCACCCUGGUGGGCAGGCAGGGCAGCAGGAGGCACUGAAGCAGCUGGUGAGACUGUGGCUGCAUCCGGAAGCAGAGAAAGAGGAAUCCAGUGCUCAGCUCUGCCAUUGUCUUCCUGACUCAGGCCAGGACCGGUCUGUGGGAUGGCGACACCCUCCUAGACACACCCAAAGAUCAAGACGGCAAUGAAGAUGAACUAAGACAUCAACCAUAGCUGCUCUAUUGUAUGUUACCUAUGUGACUUCUGUGCAAUUAUGUCAGGGCUGAGUGGGUUACAACACAGGGUACACCCAGCCCCCUGGGCAUUUAUUACCUGGCCCUUUAUGGAAAAGAAAAAGUGCGGGCCUCUGUUGUAUGGGAAGGUUUUCAGAGUGCCAGUUAGCUCACUGGAGAUGAGUUAACGGAGCAUGUGAAUAGCCACAGGGAAGGGCUUGCAUGCACCGCAGCUCACUGUGGGUCCCUCCCACUGGCUGUAAGUGUGUGCUUGCAUACCCCGAGCUGUGUGAUUCCUUGGCCUUGUAAGUCCUGGAGGAGAGGCUGGCAGAGGGAAACCCUCCCUCCCUCCCCUCCCUUCAACUUUCCCCGGAGCCGGACUUGGCUCAGCCUUGGUGGUGAUUUCAGUCACCUGCUGGUAACCUGGGCUUUACUCGACUCCCACCGUGCUAUAAACUUCAUAACAUAGAAUGUACAGCCGUUUCCUGUCAGCAGGCUUAUGGUGAUGCAGGUGGUGAUGUGUGUGGUGUAUGUAGAUAGAUGUGUUGUGGGCGUUGGGAGAUGGGGUCAGUGCUCUAGGGUAUUGGGGUUCCUCUAUCACCUCUGCUUGUUUUCUCUGACACAUCAUCUAUCGCUGACCAGGAGUACGCUUCUCUCUCUCUCUCUCUCUCUCUCUUUCUCUCUUUCCCCACCCCCUCUCUCCUAGCUAGCCUCAGAAAUCCUCAUUGUGUACAUAGGUGCUUUACAGACCUGUUUUCACAAGGUCUCUGAAAACUAAACUCUGGUCCUUUUGCUGGUACUGCAAGCUCUCAGAACCACUGAGCCAUCUCUCCAGACCUCACUUAAACCAUUUAAAAAUUAUUAUAUUCAAACUGUGUGUGUGUGUGUGUGUGUGUGUGUGUGUGUGUGUGUGUGCAGUGCACACACAGAGAUCAGAGGACAAUUUGCAAUUUGUGGGGUCAGUUCUUUCCUUCCUCACUAGUUAGGUCCUGGGGAUUGAAAUGUGGGUUUUGUUGUAAUCCCAGACCUCAAUGGUGGAAGAAAUACAUACAUA
rnacentral:lncRNA from 1 species